GACGAACGCUGGCGGCGUGCUUAACACAUGCAAGUCGAACGCUGAAGCUCAGCUUUUGUUGGGUGGAUGAGUGGCGAACGGGUGAGUAACACGUGAGUAACCUGCCUCCUUCUUUGGGAUAACGCCCGGAAACGGGUGCUAAUACUGGAUAUUCACUGGUCUUCGCAUGGGGGUUGGUGGAAAGGGUUUUUCUGGUGGGGGAUGGGCUCGCGGCCUAUCAGCUUGUUGGUGGGGUGAUGGCCUACCAAGGCUUUGACGGGUAGCCGGCCUGAGAGGGUGACCGGUCACAUUGGGACUGAGAUACGGCCCAGACUCCGACGGGAGGCAGCAGUGGGGAAUAUUGCACAAUGGGCGCAAGCCUGAUGCAGCGACGCCGCGUGAGGGAUGGAGACCUUCGGGUUGUGAACCUCUUUCGCUCAUGGUCAAGCCGCAACAAUGGUUGUGGUGAGGGUAGUGGGUAAAGAAGCGCCGGCUAACUACGUG
rnacentral:rRNA from 1 species